UCCGUGCCAGCAGCCGCGGUAAUACGGAGGACCCGAGCGUUAUCCGGAUUCAUUGGGUUUAAAGGGUGCGCAGGCGGCCCGGUCAGUCAGCGGUGAAAUGCCCGCGCUUCACGCGGGAGCUGCCGUUGAUACUGCCGGGCUGGAGUCUUAGCGAGGCGGGCGGAAUGCGCGGUGUAGCGGUGAAAUGCAUAGAUAUCGCGCAGAACGCCUAUUGGGGAGCCAGCUCGCCAGCUGAGUACUGACGCUGAGGCACGAAAGCGUGGGGAUCGAACAGGAUUAGAUACCCUGGUAGUCCACGCCGUAAACGAUGAUGGCUCGCUCUUGGUCCGCAAGGAUCAGGGGCCAAGCGAAAGCGUUAAGCCAUCCACCUGGGGAGUACGCCGGCAACGGUGAAACUCAAAGGAAUUGACGGGGGCCCGCACAAGCGGAGGAACAUGUGGUUUAAUUCGAUGAUACGCGAGGAACCUUACCCAGGCUCGAACGCCGAACGAAUGAGGGGGAAACUUCUCAGCCAGCAAUGGCGGUCGGCGAGGUGCUGCAUGGUUGUCGUCAGCUCGUGCCGUGAGGUGUCGGCUUAAGUGCCAUAACGAGCGCAACCCCUGCCGGUAGUUGCCAGCGGAUCAUGCCGGGGACUCUACCGGGACUGCCAGCGCAAGCUGCGAGGAAGGCGGGGAUGACGUCAAAUCAGCACGGCCCUUACGUCUGGGGCGACACACGUGUUACAAUGGCCGGUACAGAGGGCAGCCACCCCGCGAGGGGGCGCGAAUCUCCAAAGCCGGUCGUAGUUCGGAUCGGAGGCUGCAACCCGCCUCCGUGAAGCUGGAUUCGCUAGUAAUCGCAUAUCAGCCAUGAUGCGGUGAAUACGUUCCCGGGCCUUGUACACACCGCCCGUCAAACCAUGGGAGCUGGGGGGACCUGAAGCGCGUGACCGCAAGGAGCGCCCUAGGGUAAAACCGGUGACUGGGGUU
rnacentral:rRNA from 1 species